AUUACAAGGAAACGUCUGAUGAGCUGAAUGUCUGUCUUUCAUGUAUUCAUUCGCUUAACGUCAGCCGUACAUAAUGUAAGCAAUCGGAUAGUCGACAAAAGAAUGCUCAUUACAGCCAUUAGACUUGACUUGGACUUUAGAUAGGUAGCCCAUCUAAUUAACAAGACCCUCAUGAGUAAAAGAGUGUGUAGAGACCUCAAGUGUGCAGUGCAGGGGUACUACAAGACCAAGAUUAGAAACAUUUUAGUGUAUUUUUUAAAUAAAACUUUACAUUUACUUACAUUUUUAAACCCUUUAGUUAGAGUUGCACUUAUAUAAGUUGAGGGUUUUGGUGUGAUUAGAUGCUCACGUGCUGGUAAUUGUACUCAACCCAAAUUUCUUAUAACUGCUACAAUGGUAGCUAUGAUGUAGUUGUGUUCAUUUGGCAUGUGGAGACAGGGAUACAAUUACAGUUAGAGGGCUAUAGUUAGGGUGAUUGUAGGGACUCAGAACCACAAAUUUAUUUAGUAUUGUUACUUAUCAGUGUGUACUUGCAGUCCUCUGUAGCUGUACUUGCUCUCAAAAAACUGGUAUUGGUGCAUCUCCACCUUUAGGGCAGUAAUGUCUAAUUUUCUUUUACCUUAUCGUGUUUAUUCUGCAGAGUUCUUCCAGAUUACGACUGCAGUCAAGUUUCUUUGCAGGUCUUGACAAAGCAACAGACAAAUUAAUGACAAUUUUUGGGAGCAAGGGAGGAGUUUGUGGAAGAAAAAUAAAAAGGGUAUUGGAGGGCUUCUCAGGUUAGUAGCAAUUACACCUUGUUGAUUCUUCAACUGAAAUUAUUUUUAUAGGAUCAUAGAAAGUGGUUUACACAAAUUCCUAGUUGUAUUAUGUUUUUCUUUUUGGUUGACUCAAGAGAGUAAUAGUUCACAUAUACAGUAUAUAAAAAGCAAUAUUGUCUUGAUUUAUAGAACAACUCAAUAGAUGUUCAAAGGGAAUGUAUCCUCAAAGCCUUGUGCGUGUACUUCAGCGAAGACCACCAAGAGCUUGUAAAAGAAUACGUCUUCAAUCCACAGUUCAGAAAUGGCAAGAACCACAAGUUGAACUCUCCUGAAAGUUGCGGCUUGCAUUUACAUGGCAGCUGGAGAAAAUUUUCAGGCAUCCGACUGGACAGUUACGGAUGUCACAAAUGUCCCGCAACAAGCAAAUGGUUAUGACUGUGAUAUUUCUGCCAUUGUGUAUGCCUGCUCAAUCAGCAACUCACCAAUAGGGUCAGCUGACAACCAUGAAGCCAGGUUUUGGAUUCACUCCCUAGUUGAAGACGGCAAGCCAGUAAAAACCAGACGAUCAGGCCUCUCACAAAAAAAAAACUGUUAUGCCACAGGAGAAAGGUGCAGUCAUAUGUUGCAGAGAUGAAGGUUGUGUCUAUGAGAAAAAGAAAGUACAACUCCACCUUGCAAGGGUGAAAGCUAAAUCACAAACACACUAAGAACUGGACCCUGUGCUAUUCACCAAAAUGUAAGGGUCACGGUGAGGGAAGCAAAGAGGUGAAGGCAGGCGUGGGCGGAAACCAAGGGGCGUUAUUUAAAGUAAAACACAACAAGUAAGGCUAAAGGAAAUGGAACGCAAAGGGUCAAAACUAGGCAGGGAGAACGGUGGAAAAACACAGGGUGCAGUCAGCAGUAUAAUAUUACAAUGUAACAACACAAUGACCAGACUGGGGAGCUUAGGACAAGAAAGCAUUAUAUACACCACAGAUGAGGGAGCAGACGAGAGGCACCUGGGAUCAUCCACAUGAGGGCUGAAACAAGGGACAGGGUUAAACAAGGAACAGGUGUGGCUCGUUAGUGCCACACCACAGGGAACACAGGGGCAAAAGGCAUGCGGGGCGUGACAGUAAGGGAGAUCCAGAGUACAAGGAUCAGAACAUUUUGUGUCAUUUGUAGGCGGUGGUUUCACACUAAGUGCCAAAAGUCACCUGAUCUUUUAGUCGUUGCAUGUACCAACUACCCCAAAUGUCUAAUGUGUUCAAGCUGAAUCAGUACAUGUGGCAUUUUGAUUGGGAAAGAAUACUUUGCAACACAACCAGACUCAGAGGGGGAGCCCAUCCUCCUGAAGAUAGCAGGGGACGUCAAAGUUCCAAUUCACAUUUUCCCAGUCUUAACAUUUGAGACACAAAGUGGGGAGCAGGGAGGUGAUGACAGGCAAGUGGUGAAGCUGCUUCAGAUGGUGGGGUGAACAGUAGUACGGCAGCAGGGCAUACAGGGAAGUCAUCACAGGCAGAAGGGCAUACAGGGAAGUCAUCACAGGCAAAAGGGCGUUGCAUGUAGUUGCAGGCAGUGGGGUAGGCAGGAUAUCUUGAAAAUUUGGGGACUCCAGGUCUAUGUUCGAUUAUGCAUUUCAACAAAUGCACGGUCAGCAAGGCGCUCUCGAAUUACACACGAAUUACACACUUCUAAAAAGAAGAGUGGAAAUUAUUUAUUCAGUAAACUUUGGCGGCUGGAGUGACGUGUUUUUUUAGUGCCAAAUUUAAUUGCCAAUUGUUAGCUGGUGCUGUAUGCUGCUUAACUUGCUUUUUGGCAUGUAGAUUUGUUUGCAAAAAAGCACAGCAACAGGCGAAUAAAACUGUAUUGAGUGUGUAGCCUGUAUUUGAUUACUGUAUUUCAGUUUGUUUGCCAGGGGGCUAUAAUAAAAUAUACAAAUGUA